CGAAGGGCUAGCGUUGCUCGGAAUUACUGGGCGUAAAGGGCGCGUAGGCGGCCCUGCAAGUCAGGCGUGAAAUUCCUGGGCUCAACCUGGGGCUGCGCUUGAGACUGUGGGGCUGGAGGCCGAGAGAGGGUGGUGGAAUUCCCAGUGUAGAGGUGAAAUUCGUAGAUAUUGGGAAGAACACCGGUGGCGAAGGCGGCCACCUGGCUCGGUUCUGACGCUGAGGCGCGACAGCGUGGGGAGCAAACAGGAUU
rnacentral:rRNA from 1 species